rnacentral:rRNA from 1 species
AUGGACGGAGGGAGCAGCAUCAAUAUCCUUUCUUAUGAAACUUUCCGUCGCAUGUGGUUGACAGAUAAGAAUCUUAAAUCGUCAAACACUGUUUUUCAUGGCGUGGUGCCUGGUAAGUCGGCGUACCUAGUUGGUAAGAUAGCUCUGGAAGUGGCUUUUGGAGAUGAUCAUGACUCUAGGUCAGAGACAUUGACCUUUGAAGUGGUGAAAAUCAAGAGCCCUUACCAUGCUCUGUUUGGACGGCCGGCUUAUGCUAAAUUCAUGGCAAGGCCCCUGUUAUGUUUAUUUGCAGCUCAAGAUGCCGGGUCACAAGGGAACCAUCACAGUACACGGGAGCCGGAAGAUAGCUUUGGAGUGUGA